CGAGAAACAACAUUGAAUAGGGGGCAAGGGGUGACAAAUUUCAUGAAAGAACGUCUCAAUGUUAAUAUUAACCUUACAAAGGUUAGGUGUCCACAUAAUUUUUGCCAGGAUUGUCUGAAAAUGACCUAAAAAAAAAUAUCGAUAAUUUUCACCCAAAGCAGGCCUUUUACUAUAAAUUUUUGAUGCUGCCAUUGCUUUAGGGUAACAAACAAAUUGUUUAAACUGGUUU